CCCCAGGAAGAAGGCUGGCAGUCAGAGUAGCCACUACAGCUCUCUGCAGCAGACCCUCUUCCCAGGCCAGACAGCUCAGCCUUUGCCAGGAACUUUGAAAAAGGAACCAUCAACAUAGUGCGAUAAAAUGACCACGAGAUGAACUUGAAGAGACAGGAUUGAUAGCCCCCGUUUCUUCAAUUGUAGCAGGAUGUAAUUGUUGGCCUUUGUUGGUGCAAUAUUCAACAAUGCUGUCGUUCAGCUUAUAACCCAGCUCCAGGCCUAGUGAAACCAAGAAGCCUGAUUAGUCCCGAAAAACUGCCAACAGCAAGUAUUUACAGCCUGCCUGAAAAGGAAGGUUGAUAGCAAUAUGUAUCUGCUGUAUCAUUUACUGUAACAUAAUUUGACAUUCUUCACUGCUCAUCCACACAGCUUCCUUAUUCUCCUUGUCACUAUUCUCCAUUUUGUGAAAAUGUACAUUAUGUCCUCACUUUAUUCAAUUCUCACUCCUUUCUUCUGCCACUCUUCUUUCCAUUCAUACCAGGGCACAAUGAGAUUUGCACAAAUAAGAAUCUCUUCGGGGGGGGGGGUGUGUGCAUGUGUGUGAAAGGUAAAAUUCCCAUAUAUACUUCUAUUAAUCUUAUU